AGCUUAUGAAGAACACGCUCCAUGGGUCUUCUGCUGUGUUUGUGAGUGACAAAGCAGACAUUGAAGAACAGGAACAUCUCCACUUCCUGACUAACUUUUACACGCUGGCCUUCUUCGGAGGUUUUUAUGAAGACGGUAACGAGAACACCACCACGCGCCUGGUGGCCCCCAUGGCUGGCUCCGAGGUGAUCGGAUGUGAGCCGGAAUAACGUCACCGUCGUCAUCAGAGUCACACUUAAUUCUUCCCUACAGACCACCCCGCAGGUGUCAGACCGUGGUACACUGGCUCCAUCUAGUGGAGGUGGAGCUUAACCAGGAGGGCGGGUCCACCUGCUGCCGAUCACGUUAGCCGGCCAAUCAGCCAAGGCGUGGCCCGUCAGGUCAGACGGGCCAAACGUGCACUGACAGGCGGGCACGGCGCGGCCUCAGGCGUCAAGUUGGCUUUUAUCGCAACGAGCGCAGGAGAAGCGAGGGUGACGGCGCUAAAGAGGAUGAGCGGCGCCUUUGAACGGGCAGUGUGGAGAAAGCGUAGACGAAGAGGAGGAGGAGGAGGAGGGCGCCGGGCUCGUUAGAGAAACACAAAGUAGCGAGGCUCUCGUGUGAUCUUCGCCGUCCUCUGAUGUUCGCCACAAACCAUCCAAGUGGAAGCGGGAGGAAGAAGGAGCAGCGUUCGCCCUCGCUGAUGUCCAUAUAAUCGAGCGCCAUCGGCACUGCUGAUCAUCACACAAAAGAACAUGGCCGCCCCUUCAGGCUAAUUUGGGGCCUGCAGCAGAAUAUUAUUUUCACUUUCCUCCUCCGCUUUCCAA